AUAAGAAUAGGGGUGAGGAGGACUGCUAGGACUUCAAAAUGAUCCAUGAAAGAUCUAAUCUAAUUCAUUUUAUUAAAAUAACUCAGCCAGCUGCUAUAGCCUGUAGCAAACUGAAAGUUGUGGCUAGUUUGAGAUCAGUAGUUUAAACGUAUACGUAAAUGAUAGGACUGUUAAGACCAGAGAGGACCUUCAAUUCUUAUUUUACCAGUAAGGAAUUUGAAUCUCAGAGAGGUUAAGUGAUUUUCCCAAGAUCUUAACAACUCUUGGAGUAUGAUCUCAACGAAGGAAAAGGAAACGAAGACAGUAGAUUUAGGAGCCCUUGAAAAUACCUUAGUCAAGACGUUCUCAAACCUUUCCACCAGUCCGCUGGAGCCACCAACAGCUACGGGGGCUUGACCCUUUGGGGAUGUUGAAAGGAAAGGAAUAAUGGAAUUGAUUGAAGAAAGGGAAAAACGCAACUUGAAAAUGGUUGUGGCAGAUUAGAU
rnacentral:lncRNA from 1 species